GACGAAGGAUGCAAGCGUUAUCCGGAUUCAUUGGGUUUAAAGGGUGCGUAGGCGGACUGAUAAGUCAGUGGUGAAAUCUCUCAGCUUAACUGAGAAACUGCCAUUGAUACUGUUAGUCUAGAGUAUAGAUGACGUUGGCGGAAUAUGACAUGUAGUGGUGAAAUGCUUAGAUAUGACACAGAACACCGAUUGCGAAGGCAGCUCACUAAACUGUAACUGACGCUGAGGCACGAAAGCGUGGGGAGCAAACAGG
rnacentral:rRNA from 1 species